UUGUGCAGGGUGGAGAAGCAGGGCACGUGAACGGCCAUCUAGUGUAGCUUCGCUGCGCGUCCAUAGCGGCGAACCCGCAUGCUUUGGAUGGGUGUUCAUGUGUCCGUCUUCUCCACCGAGCACUG
rnacentral:pre_miRNA from 1 species